GAGUGGCGGACGGGUGAGUAACGCGUGAGGAACCUGUCUUACACAGGGGGAUAACGCACCGAAAGGUGUGCUAAUACCGCAUAAGACCACGCUACCGCAUGGUAGAGGGGUCAAAGGAGCGAUCCGGUGUAAGGUGGCCUCGCGUCCCAUUAGGCAGUUGGCGGGGUAACGGGCCCACCAAACCGACGAUGGGUAGCCGACCUGAGAGGGUGAUCGGCCACAUUGGAACUGAGAGACGGUCCAAACUCCUACGGGAGGCAGCAGUGGGGAAUAUUGGGCAAUGGGCGGCAAGCCUCGACCCAGCAACGCCGCGUGAGGGAAGGAAGGUUUUCGGUAUUGUAAACCUCUGUCCUCAAUGAAAAGACAAGAGAUGGUAAUUGAGGAGGAAGCCCCGGCUAACUACGUGCCAGCCGCUGC
rnacentral:rRNA from 1 species